UGAACGCUGGCGGCAUGCCUUACACAUGCAAGUCGAACGGCAGCACGGGUGCUUGCACCUGGUGGCGAGUGGCGAACGGGUGAGUAAUACAUCGGAACAUGUCCUGUAGUGGGGGAUAGCCCGGCGAAAGCCGGAUUAAUACCGCAUACGAUCUACGGAUGAAAGCGGGGGACCUUCGGGCCUCGCGCUAUAGGGUUGGCCGAUGGCUGAUUAGCUAGUUGGUGGGGUAAAGGCCUACCAAGGCGACGAUCAGUAGCUGGUCUGAGAGGACGACCAGCCACACUGGGACUGAGACACGGCCCAGACUCCUACGGGAGGCAGCAGUGGGGAAUUUUGGACAAUGGGCGAAAGCCUGAUCCAGCAAUGCCGCGUGUGUGAAGAAGGCCUUCGGGUUGUAAAGCACUUUUGUCCGGAAAGAAAUCCUUGGCUCUAAUACAGUCGGGGGAUGACGGUACCGGAAGAAUAAGCACCGGCUAACUACGUGCCAGCAGCCGCGGUAAUACGUAGGGUGCGAGCGUUAAUCGGAAUUACUGGGCGUAAAGCGUGCGCAGGCGGUUUGCUAAGACCGAUGUGAAAUCCCCGGGCUCAACCUGGGAACUGCAUUGGUGACUGGCAGGCUAGAGUAUGGCAGAGGGGGGUAGAAUUCCACGUGUAGCAGUGAAAUGCGUAGAGAUGUGGAGGAAUACCGAUGGCGAAGGCAGCCCCCUGGGCCAAUACUGACGCUCAUGCACGAAAGCGUGGGGAGCAAACAGGAUUAGAUACCCUGGUAGUCCACGCCCUAAACGAUGUCAACUAGUUGUUGGGGAUUCAUUUCCUUAGUAACGUAGCUAACGCGUGAAGUUGACCGCCUGGGGAGUACGGUCGCAAGAUUAAAACUCAAAGGAAUUGACGGGGACCCGCACAAGCGGUGGAUGAUGUGGAUUAAUUCGAUGCAACGCGAAAAACCUUACCUACCCUUGACAUGGUCGGAAUCCCGCUGAGAGGUGGGAGUGCUCGAAAGAGAACCGGCGCACAGGUGCUGCAUGGCUGUCGUCAGCUCGUGUCGUGAGAUGUUGGGUUAAGUCCCGCAACGAGCGCAACCCUUGUCCUUAGUUGCUACGCAAGAGCACUCUAAGGAGACUGCCGGUGACAAACCGGAGGAAGGUGGGGAUGACGUCAAGUCCUCAUGGCCCUUAUGGGUAGGGCUUCACACGUCAUACAAUGGUCGGAACAGAGGGUUGCCAACCCGCGAGGGGGAGCUAAUCCCAGAAAACCGAUCGUAGUCCGGAUUGCACUCUGCAACUCGAGUGCAUGAAGCUGGAAUCGCUAGUAAUCGCGGAUCACGCAUGCCGCGGUGAAUACGUUCCCGGGUCUUGUACUCACCG
rnacentral:rRNA from 1 species